rnacentral:lncRNA from 1 species
AGGGCACUGAAAAAAAGGAACUUGGAGAAUGUGAGUUUAUUUCUUUUUCUAUUGGGGCUGGAGGAAGCUGGAGGAGAAAGAGUGUCUGUGACAGUCUAGGUUUUGCAGUUCUGUGUGGGAAGUAAAGGCUGAAAUGAAGAGCCUGGUGUGGAGAUUUCAAGAGGAGAGUGAGCAACGCCGAUCAGCAUGAUGGCUUUCUUUAACACCGUGUUGAGCUCCAGCCGGCAGUGAAGGUGAUGAAGGGUCCUUAAUCUGUGGAAUUGAGGGAUGGUGGUGUCACAGGGCUGUCCAGUGUUGUGUGCAGGUUGCACACUGCAAAUCUUAGAGGGUGCCAUUCUCCUGGUAACUCUGUAUGUUUCUAUAUUUAUUAUGACCAUGUUUUACCCAUCAUGGGUUUUAUUACAUUAUGACAAUUUUCCUGACAGGUUGAAGUCAAGUGUCCUGAAGAUGGGAUGAUUUUUUGAUUUGAACAAAAGCACCAUAUUGGCUGGUGAAGCCUGUGACAGCUGUGCUGUAGGUAGAUGUGUCUUAAAGCAGAAGAUAGGACCAGUUGCUUCAAGGAGAGACUGGAGCCUUUGACAAUAGUAGACACAAAAAUAGGAGCUUAGUUUGGAAAAGAUAGGCUGAUGUCAAAUCUAGGUAGGAGGCAAUGGAAGAAGGACCCACACAUGACUUGAAAUAUGGGUGACAGAUAGUGGUGGCAAAUAGGAAGUAGAAAAGUGAGAAAGGAGAUUUAUCAAGGAAGAGGAAAGGGAGGUAGAUGGAAGGCAGAAAUGAAAGAUUCCAUUUUGAGCACAUUUUGGAGCCAGACAUGUUAACUGAACAUGUAGGUGGAAGUGUCAGCCAUUAGGCUGAAAUGUUGGUCUGGAGGUCAGGCCAGGAGUUGGACUAGAGGCAUCUACAUAAAAGUGAUUGCUGAGGUAACAGGAGAGCCGGGAGAGAGGCCAGUGGAACAGAACUGGGCUCAGAAGCAGUCCUCCUUGUUAUCACAUUUUGUUCUCUAACUCCCAAAGAAUUAGGAAUAAAUCGUGCAAAAGGAGCCUGCUUUCUUAGUAAUGUGAUGGUUGGCCAGUGUGUUUCCUUUCUGAUUCCUGCCAACCAUCAAAUGCAGUCAGAUCACCAGCUCUUAUACAUAAACAUAUCAGUUUUUCAUUAUAAGAUUAGAUAGGAGUGUCAGCAGGAGAGGCUUUCUGACCAAGGCAGAAUCAUUGAUGACUUGGUAAUGUUUUAAUGGGGAAAUGGAAGCCCAGAAAUCAGUUAUAAGAUGCAGUCAACUCCUCACUCAAGAAAGAAAGCCAUGGCAAAAACCAUCUGAAAGUAUUUUUAUUUAACCCUCAUAUGCACUAUAUGUAGCUGUACAGUUUCUUCUCAGUGUUUCUCUUAAACUGAUGCUAAAAUUAAUUUACAUCUCAUAAGGCCAUAAAAUUGAUGAUGAGAAAAGAUAGUCAUGGGGGCCGUCCCUGUGGCCCAGUGGUUAAGUUUGUGCACUCCGCUUCAGCAGUCUGGGGUUCGCCAGUUUGCACCCUGGCACAGACCUACUCACCAUUCGUCAAGCCAUGCUGGGAUGUCAUCCCAUAUAGAAGAACUAGAAUGACUUACAACUAGGAUAUACAACUAUGCACUGGGGCUUUGGGGAGGAAAAAAAAGAGGAAAGAGGAAGAUUGGCAACAGAUAUUAGCUCAGGGCCAAUCUUUCUCACCAAAAAAAGAAAAAAAACCUUACAUUCUCUUAAAAAAAAAAAACAAAGAAAGAAAGAAAGAAAAGAUAGUCCAAGAAGUGCAUUGGGUGGCAGAGAAGUGUUUAGGAGAUGAAAAUGUUUGCCUCAUAUAAGGCUUAUGUAGAGAAUGAGGGCUUAUUCUAAUGACUGUCCUGGGCUUCUCUUCUCAUGUUUCUAGAUUGUCUGGCAGGAAUAUUUCCUGGUAUUAGUGUUCUCAUACUUGCUAGGAAGACCUCAGCAGUCAAGAUGGCAUCCAUGUUCCAAAUGUUUAGUGGAAGUUGACACUCAAAUACAAUCUAUCUCCAACUCACCCUCCUUCCUAUUUUAUGCUACUUUACUGGACACAGGGUCCAGUCUAAUCUGAGAGUCAUAAAGUAUUUGUUCUUAUGUAUCCUCAGGAAAGUUUAAAAAAAAGAGCAACAUAUGGGUCAUCAUCA